UACGUAGGUGGCAAGCGUUGUCCGGAUUUAUUGGGUUUAAAGGGUGCGUAGGUGGUCAAUUAAGUCAGUGCUGAAAUAUCCCGGCUUAACCGGGAGGGUGGCAUUGAUACUGAUUGACUUGAGUGGAGUUGAGGUAGGCGGAAUUGACGGUGUAGCGGUGAAAUGCUUAGAUAUCGUCAAGAACACCGAUAGCGAAGGCAGCUUACCAAGCCCUAACUGACACUGAUGCACGAAAGUGUGGGGAUCAAACAGG
rnacentral:rRNA from 1 species